rnacentral:rRNA from 1 species
GAUGAACGCUGGCGGCGUGCCUAAUACAUGCAAGUCGAGCGAACAGACGAGGAGCUUGCUCCUCUGACGUUAGCGGCGGACGGGUGAGUAACUCGUGGAUAACCUACCUAUAAGACUGGGAUAACUUCGGGAAACCGGAGCUAAUACCGGAUAAUAUAUUGAACCGCAUGGUUCAAUAGUGAAAGACGGUUUUGCUGUCACUUAUAGAUGGAUCCGCGCCGCAUUAGCUAGUUGGUAAGGUAACGGCUUACCAAGGCAAUGAUGCGUAGCCGACCUGAGAGGGUGAUCGGCCACGCUGGAACUGAGACACGGUCCAGACUCCUACGGGAGGCAGCAGUAGGGAAUCUUCCGCAAUGGGCGAAAGCCUGACGGAGCAACGCCGCGUGAGUGAUGAAGGUCUUCGGAUCGUAAAACUCUGUUAUUAGGGAAGAACAAAUGUGUAAGUAACUAUGCACGUCUUGACGGUACCUAAUCAGAAAGCCACGGCUAACUACGUG